rnacentral:rRNA from 1 species
AGAGUUUGAUCAUGGCUCAGAACGUACGCUGGCGGCACGCCUAACACAUGCAAGUCGAACGAAGUAGCAAUACUUAGUGGCAGACGGGUGAGUAACAUGUGGGUAUCUGCCCUUUGGCCUGGAAUAACACGAGGAAACUUGUGCUAAUACCGGAUAAGUCUUUACGGAGAAAGCUUUAUGCACCAUUGGAUGAGCCCGCACUUGAUUAGUUUGUUGGUGGGGUAAUGGCCUACCAAGACUGUGAUCAAUAGCUGAUUUGAGAGGAUGAUCAGCCACAUUGGGACUGAGACACGGCCCAAACUCCUACGGGAGGCAGCAGUGGGGAAUCUUGCACAAUGGAGGAAACUCUGAUGCAGCGAUGCCGCGUGAGUGAAGAAGGCCCUUGGGUUGUAAAGCUCUUUCGUCGGGGAAGAAAAUGACUGUACCCGAAUAAGAAGGUCCGGCUAACUUCGUGCCAGCAGCCGCGGUAAUACGAAGGGACCUAGCGUAGUUCGGAAUUACUGGGCUUAAAGAGUUCGUAGGUGGUUGAAAAAGUUAGUGGUGAAAUCCCAGAGCUUAACUCUGGAACUGCCAUUAAAACUUUUCAGCUAGAGUAUGAUAGAGGAAAGCAGAAUUUCUAGUGUAGAGGUGAAAUUCGUAGAUAUUAGAAAGAAUACCAAUUGCGAAGGCAGCUUUCUGGAUCAUUACUGACACUGAGGAACGAAAGCAUGGGUAGCGAAGAGGAUUAGAUACCCUCGUAGUCCAUGCCGUAAACGAUGUGUGUUAGACGUUGGAAAUUUAUUUUCAGUGUCGCAGCGAAAGCGAUAAACACACCGCCUGGGGAGUACGACCGCAAGGUUAAAACUCAAAUGAAUUGACGGGGACCCGCACAAGUAGUGGAGCAUGUGGUUUAAUUCGAAGAUACGCGCAGAACCUUACCAACACUUGACAUGUUCGUCGCGACUCUAAGAGAUUAGAGUUUUCGGUUCGGCCGGACGAAACACAGGUGCUGCAUGGCUGUCGUCAGCUCGUGUCGUGAGAUGUUGGGUUAAGUCCCGCAACGAGCGCAACCCUCACUUUUAGUUGCCAUCAUUAAGUUGGGCACUCUGAAAGAACUGCCAGUGAUAAGCUGGAGGAAGGUGGGGAUGACGUCAAGUCCUCAUGGCCCUUACGUGUUGGGCUACACACGUGCUACAAUGGUAUCUACAACAGGAAGCAAGACUGCGAGGUCAAGCGAAUCCUUAAAAGAUACCUCAGUUCGGAUUGCACUCUGCAACUCGAGUGCAUGAAGCUGGAAUUACUAGUAAUCGUGGAUCAGCGUGCCACGGUGAAUGCGUUCCCGGGUCUUGUACACACCGCCCGUCACACCAUGGGAGUUGGUUCUACC